rnacentral:rRNA from 1 species
AUCUGGUUGAUCCUGCCAGGGGCUACCGCUAUUGGAGUUCGAUUAAGCCAUGCGAGUCGCGAGAAAUUAGAUUCUCGGCGUACCGCUCAGUAACACGUGGGUAACCUGCCCUAUGCUGGAUAAUAACCUCGGGAAACUGAGAAUAAUGAUCCAUAGUUCACUAUGCCUGGAACGGUGAGUGGAUGAAAGCUCCGGCGGCAUAGGAUGGGCCUGCGGCGUAUCAGGUUGUAGGGGGUGUAACGUACCCUCUAGCCCUCUACGCGUACGGGUGUUGGGAGACAUAGCCCGGAGAUGGAUUCUGAGACACGAAUCCAGACCCUACGGGGUGCAGCAGGCGCGAAAACUUGGCAAUGCGAGAAAUCGUGACCAGGGAACUCCAAGUGCAUCGGGUAAGACCGGUGCUUUUCUUGACUCUAAAUAGGUCUUGGAAUAAGGGGUGGGUA